CACAAGUUAACUUAACCGGCGGCGGAGAAUUGCGGAGCCGCGGCGUCUACUCUGUCACUGAGAGGCAGGGACAAGCAGCACAUUCACUUCACAGUCGAGAGUGCAGAGUUUUUAUGUCCAUCCAUUAAUGAGGCUAGCAAGACCUUCAUACAACUUCAGCCAAUUGCAACAAAUGUGGUGGAAGUUCUUCUCUGGACAGAAUCCUCGAAAUCCUUUCCUUUAUUUCCUGGCCAUGGGAAACAUGCAACAGAUCUCUCAAUCUUUUUUCUCAAUCAGUCUCUCUGAUGGAGCCAAUACGGAAGUGACUUAAACUGCAAUUCGGCCAAGAUGGCGACGGCACGCACCGCCUACUUUAGGCUUCAAAAAUGCUCUUCACAAUCAAUGGGUGACAUCACGGACACUACUUUCAUAUUUUUUUUCAGUCUAUGGUUUAAAGGCAUUUUACGUGCUUGAAAAUAAAUACCCCAGGCAAUGUGCAUCUACUGUAGUCUGUCAUUUUCCAAAUGGAUGAAUCCUCUGCUGUUCGGUUCCUUUGUACAUCUUUGUUCGUGAGGAGUAACUUUAAUAAAUGAAGUAUUUUUAGUCAAAUACAUUCCAUACUCUGAAACUUGGAACAUCUGUUCUGUAAAAAACUUUACACAUCUGUAAAUGAUUUUACUUUUAAUUUAACAAUUACAUUGUUUCUUUUCUUACAA